AAAACCAAGCUGAAAGAUGAUGGCAGCAACUAUACGGACUGGGUCCGGAACCUGAGGAUCAUCCUCAUAGCUGCCAAGAAAGAUUAUGUCCUAGAAGCACCGCUAGGUGAAGCACCAAUCCCAGAGAACCAAGACGUUAUGGACGCUUGGCAAUCACGUGCUGAUGAUUACUCCCUCGUUCAGUGCGGCAUGCUUUACAGCAUAGAACCGGGUCUCCAAAAGCGUUUUGAGAAACAUGGAGCAUAUGAGAUGUUCGAAGAGCUGAAAAUGGUUUUCCAAGCUCAUGCCCGGGUCGAGAGAUAUGAAGUCUCCGACAAGUUCUUUAGCUGUAAAAUGGAGGAAAAUAGUUCUGUCAGUGAGCACAUACUCAGAAUGUCUGGGUUGCACAACCGCUUGUCUCAGCUGGGAGUUAAUCUCCCGGAUAACGCGGUCAUUGACAGAACCCUCCAGUCGCUUCCACCAAGCUACAAGAGCUUUGUGAUGAACUUCAAUAUGCAGGGGAUGGAAAAGACCAUUCCUGAGGUAUAUUCAAUGCUGAAAUCAGCGGAGGUGGAGAUCAGAAAGGAACAUCAAGUGUUGAUGGUGAAUAAAACCACUAAGUUCAAGAAAGGCAAGGGUAAGAAGAACUUCAAGAAGGACGGCAAGGGAGUUGCCGCGCCCGGUAAACCAGUUGCCGGGAAGAAGUCACAGAAUGGACCCAAGCCUGAGACUGAGUGCUUUUAUUGCAAGGGAAGUGGUCACUGGAAGCGGAACUGCCCCAAAUACUUAGCAGACAAGAAGGCCGGCAACACCAAAGGUAUAUGUGAUAUACAUGUAAUUGAUGUGUACCUUACCAGU
rnacentral:rRNA from 1 species